rnacentral:rRNA from 1 species
AUUGAACGCUGGCGGCAGGCCUAACACAUGCAAGUCGGGCGAGCGGCGGACGGGUGAGUAAUGUAUGGGGAUCUGCCUGAUGGAGGGGGAUAACUACUGGAAACGGUAGCUAAUACCGCAUACCAUCAGAUGAACCCAUAUGGGAUUAGCUUGUAGGUGGGGUAACGGCUCACCAAGCCGACGAUCUCUAGCUGGUCGGCGAGGAUGACCAGCCACACUGGGAUGGGGACAGGGCCCAGACUCUUAGGGGAGGAAGCAGUGGGGAAUAUUGCGCAAUGGGGUCAACCCUGACGAAGCCAGGCCGCGGGAAUGAAGAAGGCCUUCGGUUGGUAAAGUUCUUUCGGUAGCGAGGCGUUAACUACAGAAGAAGCACCGGCUAACUCCGUGCCAGCAGCCGCGGUAAUAC